UACGUAGGGUCCGAGCGUUAUUCGGAAUUACUGGGCGUAAAGCGUGCGCAGGCGGUUCGUUAAGUCCGGUGUGAAAUCCCCGGGCUUAACCUGGGAACUGCGCUGGUAACUAGCGGGCUAGAGUGCGGCAGAGGGGGGUGGAAUUCCACGUGUAGCAGUGAAAUGCGUAGAUAUGUGGAGGAACACCGAUGGCGAAGGCAGCCCCCUGGGUCGACACUGACGCUCAUGCACAAAAGCGUGGGGAGCAAACAGG
rnacentral:rRNA from 1 species